GAUGAACGCUGGCGGCGCGCCUAACACAUGCAAGUCGAACGAUUAAAGCACCUUCGGGUGUGUAUAAAGUGGCGAACGGCUGAGUAACACGUGGGCAACCUGCCCCUUUCAUUGGGAUAGCCACGGGAAACCGUGGAUAAUACCGAAUACUUCGAGACUUCCGCAUGGAAGGCUCGAGAAAGCUCCGGCGGAGAGGGAUGGGCCCGCGGCCUGUUAGCUUGUUGGUGGGGUAACGGCCUACCAAGGCAAUGAUGGGUAGCUGGGUUGAGAGACCGACCAGCCAGAUUGGGACUGAGACACGGCCCAGACUCCUACGGGAGGCAGCAGUGGGGAAUCUUGCACAAUGGGCGAAAGCCUGAUGCAGCGACGCCGCGUGCGGGAUGAAGGCCUUCGGGUUGUAAACCGCUUUCAGCAGGGACGAGGCGAAAGUGACGGUACCUGCAGAAGAAGCCCCGGCUAACUACGUG
rnacentral:rRNA from 1 species